rnacentral:rRNA from 1 species
ACUGCAAUUGGAGGGCAAGUCUGGUGCCAGCAGCCGCGGUAAUUCCAGCUCCAAUAGCGUAUAUUAAAGUUGUUGCAGUUAAAAAGCUCGUAGUUGAAGUUCUGAUUGCUCAGGUUUCCAGCCUUAGGCGGAGAUACUGACAGUCAUCCGCUUGCAAACAUAUGUUCGAUCUUCACCGGUUGGCUAUGUGAGUAAGCACUUUACCUUGAGAAAAACAGAGUGUUCCAGGCAGGUUUGUCCGGGAUGCAUUAGCAUGGAAUAAUAGAACAUGACUGAAGUCGAUUAUUGGUUUAAGGCUUAGUAAUGAUUAAUAGGAACAGUCGGGGGCAUUCGUACUCAGCAGUCAGAGGUGAAAUUCUAAGAUUUGCUGAAGACGAACUAAUGCGAAAGCAUUGCCAAGGAAUGUUUUCAUUAAUCAAGAACGAAAGUUAGGG